AGUACGGUGCAUAGACUGUACAGACAUUUUUUUCCGUUAGUUUUCAUGGUCAGAAUGAGAGAUCAGGUGGCCGAUCUUAAAAUAAAUCAAUAUUGAUUUUUUUUAUAGAGCAUUAAAGUUUUGCAAAGCGAGGAGGCGGGACUACUUGAUUGACAGUCCGGUCUGGAAUGAUUGACAGGUCCUAUGGAGGAGGCAGCAGAGACUCUGUUCUCCUCGUUUGGAUUAAUUCUGAUAUAAUAACUGUUGGUUUAUUUAUCGGUGGAGCAGCAGAACAUUUUCCAGGCAGUUUUCCUUCCCGUUGGCUUGUUUUAACCAGUUUUCUACCUUCGGCUGAUUCUACCAGCAGACACUGAAAGGACUCUGAUAGUUCGAGUGAAAGCAGCAGUUCCUCCUUAAGGUCAGAGAUUGCAGCAUCUGAGGACCUCUUCAAAAGAAGAUGUAGUUGAUGAAGGCGUUCUGGAGCAGGACCAGAAAGACCACGACCAAGCAGCCUUUACAUCUUAGGCAGCGUCUCCCUGAGGUCCCUCUCUAUCUCCACACACAUCCACCAACCACUGGAACACAUCUCCAAAGUUCUGCCGGGCCAGCUCAGCUUCCCCUCAGAAGAAGUGCUACCAGAUGAAGGAGCCUUUUGAGAGGCAGCUGGCAUCGUGAUUGGACUGUACUUUGGUCUGUUCCAAUCCAGCUUCAGCUCCAGAGACGGCAGGCGGGACGAGUCAACGGAGGCCGGGUGGACGAAGGCAUGCAGCUGAGUACAAUCCAGAAAACAACAGAGGAGGAGUGCAGUGGCCCAGGGCCAGAACAAGCAGAGUACCAUUACCAAAGAACUACAGACUCUUCACAACCUGCUCAAACUCUUGGUACAGGACCUCACCACACGGGUCAAGAAGGUUUCUGUCUCAUUUCUACUCUGAAGAUCACCUUCUCCUGCUCAAACUGCUGACAAAUGUUUCUGCUGCUCUAAAGUCUGGUCUCCAGAACUUCCUAAAAACUCUCAAAGUCUCUUCUGCUGCAGGUUGCUUUGUAGAACUGUCGCAGAAAACCUCACUAAACCACAUGGAGGGGCCUCAAGAUAGUCGUCCAAAUGAAAUCGUACAAAAACCAAACUAGCACAACCCAAACACUAAACUCUCCUGCAGCCUACCAGAGAACCUCUGAGAACAGAGAAUCAGGACAGGAACUCUUACCUUCUGGACAACCAACAUUGGUUCUCAAACAAGAAUACAGAAUGUGUCUGACCAAAAACCUCUAAAGACUCACUACAGCCAAGAUAAAGACACAACUCAGCUGCACCAAAUCCACUAAUCACUGCACACAUUAGGACCAUGUGCUAACUGUGGCUAAAGAACCACAUUUACCAAGACAACUAUCCAGUACAAAGCCAUAAAACACACCAAGAAACACAUUAAAGACGAUUUUACUGCUGGAAGCUGCAAGCCAACACCUAAAGAACAAACUGAAGCAAUGGCGCUAAACCUGAUUCAGUGGUGAAUAGAAGCAGAGGAAAUGUUUGUCUGCAGCUAAAUAAAGCAGGAAGACACUGAGCUGCUCAGGUGUUCCUGAUAACACCAAGCAGCCACCUGGACAGCCAAUAAGAACACAGCUUCCUGGAAGUCCAGAGGGCUGGGUUAGUGAAGGAAAUUUAAUUUAAAGUUGAAGCAGAAAGUUAACAAAGAAAGUUGAAAACCACCUUCUGAUACCUGAAAUCUCUGAGUUUUCACACAAAGAACACCUGAACAUGUCAAACUGGUUUCAUAGUAGAACCAUCAUUGUAAAAACGUCAUAGUAUGGUGUGUUGCUCAAAAAACAUUACGACCCGGCUGUCUAGGGUCACUGAGGAGCAACACAAAAACAGGACAAACGCUGGUUUCCAGGGGGUUAGGCGGCUAUUUAUUUGAAAGAGCAAGUUUACAACAACACAUGUGAGCAGAAAAAUCACAGUCUGUCUUUCGUUCAGCUGAAAAUAUUAGUUUUUGCCUUUUUUAUUGACCAAAUUUUUCAGGAAGUAGAUGAAGAAUAAUUAAAGCUCUCAUGUAGAAGUCCAACUUAUUUUGGCUCCUUGUGGAGAGUUUAAUCUUAGAGUUUGUACAGCUGUUUAGUUUUUAGAGUCACAUGGAUUGUUUUGUCUUCCCCUCUACCUCUUCUGUCCCUCUCAACCCGCCCGGUCAGCAGGCAGAUGGGUCCCCCCACAUUAGAGCCGGGUUCUGCUCGAGGUUUUUUUCCCUGUUAAAAGGGUGUUUUCCUUGCCACUGUCACCUUUUGGCUUGCUCUGGAGGUCAGGCAUAUUGGUUCUGUAAAGCGUCUCGAGACAAUUUGACUGUAAUUGGCGCUAUAUAAAUAAAAUUGAAUUGAAUUGAAUUUAAUAACUGAGUCCUGAAAUAAAAUUACAGUUGUGGAUUUCUGUCAUUUAGUCUGGACUAAACAAAUAACAGCAGCAUAAAUCUCAAAUGUCAUUAUGAGGAGUCUGGAUUGAGGUUUCUCACUUGAUAACGAUCAAAACAUGAAAUUUAGGUUGGUUUAAAGGAAUAUUCCACCUUAAAUCUUUGAAUGUUGACCUAAAAGGUUGGUUUCAGGAAGUAUUCCACCUACAAGGUCCUCAAACAUCCACCUUAAAGGAACAUUCUACCAAAAACCCUUGGACAUGCACCUAAAAUGUUGCUUUAACCGAGUAUUCCAUCCAAAAUCCUCAAAGAGACCUGAGGGGCUGGUUAAAAGGAAUAUUCCACCUAAAACCUCAAAUAUAGACCCGAAAGGGUUGUUUAGAAAAAAUCCUUCAGUGUAGACCAAAAAAGUUAGUAUGGAGGAAUAUUCCACCUGAAAUGUAGACCUGAGAAGUUGGUUCGGAAGAAUAUACCAUCCUAAACAUCCUUAAAUGUAGACUAAAAGACAGUUUGGAAGAGAAUUCCACCUAAAAUCCUCCAAUGUAGACCUAAAAGGUGAGUUUAAUGGUACAUUCGACAUAAAAUUCACGACUGUAGACCUUGGAGGUUAGUCUGAUGAUAUAUUCCACCCAAAAUACCAAGAAGUCAGUGUAAAGGAAAUGUAGACCUAAAAGGAUUGUUUAAAGGAAUAUUUAAACAGUUAUUUUCAUUAUUUAAUAAUCUGUUAUCAGUCAGAACCCUGGCAAACUUAUUUUCAUCAGUUUUUUAGUGGAAGUCACAAAUAAAGGAGCUCUUGGUUUUUCCCAGCGUUACUGAGUCAAAAGCUGCUGUUUCAACACAGACACGUUCACAUGCAUCCACAAACCUCUCAGCACUCAAACACCCACAGACAGGAGGCCGGCUGGACCGAGGCUCGGCGGCGUCCUCAGACCCACGAGUCGGGGAGUCGGUGAACUUGUUGGUCCGGUUUGAAGGCCUCCGUGUGGUCCAGUAGAAGUCCACGUAGUCGGUGUUGGCUUUGAACCACAGCGACUGGCCGCCAUCAGGUGGACCGGCUCGUACUCGUAGGGCUCCUCCUGUAGCCUUGAGGGAACCACAGGAACAUUCAGUAGCUGUUGGAGUUCUUCCUGUCAGGCUCGUAGUAGAACGGCUCUGAAGAAUCUUGUACUUGUCUUAUCUGGAACAAUCUAAUAGCCUAAACUGUUAACAGCGAUGUAAAGAAGCAAACACACAGGCAUAGAUUAGGACUCAAACUAGAUUUAUUUUAGAAAACAAAUCAGCUUAGAGGCAUUUGUUCACACGUGGCUGAAUAGGAGGCCGUCCAAUCAGAUUUGAGGUCUUCACUCUGUAGGUUGUUUGUUUGGUGAGACUCUUGGACCUCCAUCAGCUGACAUGGAUGUUUGAUGGUCUUCUUCUCUAGUGCCAGAUGAUUCAUCCAUGAAUUCAGCAGCUACAGACUGAAAUGAAGCUCAUGCUGCCGUUAUUGAAUUCCUGUUCCAGAUCAAAUGUUCAGAGCUCACCUUGAAUGCAGCUGUCUGCUGUCUGAUAGUUUUUCUCAUUGUAGUCUUCAAUAAAGUCUUUUUCCUCAUGUCA